ensembl:lncRNA
CAGCGCCCUGGCCCCGGAGCGGUUUAGCCGCUGCCUUGUGUCGCGGCCGCGUGCCGGGCGAUGGCCGCCCAGACCCCCGGACCCCCGAUCGCCAGUCCCGGGGCUUCCCGCCCGCGCCUCGGUGGAGGGAGGCCCCGGAGGCGCCAUCGCUCGCGCCUGCCACCUGGACGCUGAAUAAACUGGGAAACAAUUAGGUGGCCGGGUGGGGAAGGUGCUGGGUGACUGCACUGCCAGGCGGCCGCGUGCCCCCGCGCUCGCAGGGGUUGGCGACUGGGGGCGGUUGGGAGUUCGUGUUUAGGGAGGAAGGUGAGAGGUGCGGGAUCUGCCCACGAGGGCAGUCGCUCUCGGAGAAUCGGGGAAUGGCUCUGUCAGGUCGCAGGCCCUCCUCCGCCUUUAUCCCCAUCACGCACAAAAAGAAUGGGCCUUGCAAGGGAUGUUUAUUAUGCACUUUUAAGUGACUAUUCAGAAAAGAGCAGGAGGCACAAUAAAAAAGGCUUCUGCCCCACCAAUUCCCUUCCCUUGAAGAAAAAAAGAAAGAGAAAGCCACCCACAAAGUGCGUUUUUCUCAGGGCCAACCCAAGGGGCUAAUAAAAUCUGAGAGCUGUUAGUCCCAAAUACAUUUUGUGCGGGAGUUUGUGAAAGCAACUUUUGCCGAGUGCAAACGUCAGACGAUGAAACUGAAAAUACUUCCAAAGUCACAGGCUCCUCUUCCAAUCACGGCGCCUCACAUUUCCAGCGCUCCGGGAUAAAGUUGUCUGAGGAAAAUAAAAGUGUUGAUAAACCAUGGUUCCAGAUUGUUACUUAUUUUACAACCCUCGGUUUGCAAUCGAUCAUAGCUUGGGCCUAACAGGACUGACUCCGGCUUUUCAUUUGUUUAUAGUGUGUGCAAUGUUUUAUGCCUCAAAUGUACCAUGUCAGCUAUGUAAAAUAAUGCAGUAUUUUUGUUCGCAUCCUGGAUCCACUUGCACAAUGGUUUUUGUUUAAAAUGAAGGCCGUGAUUAUUUUCCAUUAUUACAGAAUGGAAACUUCAAUCCUAGACAUCUGAGAAACAUAGCUGAAGAAUCCACUGCUGAGCUGGGAAAAGCCGAGAGAAGCUCGUGUUUACUUGAUUCACAAAGUGCAAUUGACUCUAUUUAACUUGACCAAUUUAAAUCCAAUCUAAUAAACCACAAGCUUGCUUCUGCUUCAAAAAAGCCAACAGGCCACCCUGAGGCCCAAAGUCCAUCUUUCUCAGUGCCAUGAUGUCAAAUAAACCUGUGAUGCCCUUGUUUUUGCUAAGCGAAUGGCUCAUAUGUUGCAGUUAAUUUUUCUGGUGCAACAAUCACAUUGUAAUUUUCCAUGACUCUUCUCUAUAAGUACAAAGAAACCCUGGAAUCAUGGAAUUUUGAGCCAGAGGGAACCUCUUCACUUUACAUGGGAAGAAAUGGAGAGAGAGAGAGAGAAGUGAAGUGCCUGCCCGCUCUCACACGGGCUCUACCACCUGCCUCCAGGUCUCCCUGCUCCCUAACAGGUGGUUUCUCCCCGCCUCAGCCUCUUGAAGAGAUGGAAGGAAGGAAACUGGGAAAGGACUCAAGAGCAACACUUCAGGAAGCACAGGGAAACCAAGGGAAUGCAGUAACAGAAUUAACAGGAUGUGGGAAAGGUUCGAGUGAUAAAUCCAGGUGGUUAAAUGAGUUUCAAAGCAUCAGGAGCCAGGUCAUAAUAGAGAAACCAUGGGAAGGGCAGAGGCUGUGUAAAAAAUAAUCUGGGAAAAUAAGGACUGUGGAGAGAAAGCAAGUGCUUUUUAAGAUGUGUCAAACAUAGGGUCAAAGUUAGAUCAAGAGGAGAAAAGGAAAAGUCUGGGGGAAUGUCUGUAGACAGGCAGAAAGAGAGUGAGUGAACUGAUGUCCUAAAGAUUCCUUCUGUACGGCGCUGCUGAGGAAGAGAGCGUGACGAACGGCCUCACGAGAAUGAGCUAGUGCAGGGCUGAGAGACACAGGAAUGGCCGCAGUCAUGGUGAAUUGUGGGCAGUGGUGAGAGUUUCGUCCCAGGAGCAUGAUGAGAAUGCCAGCGCCUGACCCACAUCAAGGCUGCUUCAUCUGCGGCGAGAUGGAGAGUGUCCUAAACCAGUCAGCCCUCAGAUGAAGAAGCGUGCUGUCCAAUGUCACCCAGCAGCUGGGUGCCGGGCAGAGGAAAUUCAGGCUUUCUCUUCUGCAUCUGCGCAUGCCCACGGUCACGCUCCUUUCCUGGUUCGGAUUUGGAAUUGUUCAGUUAGGAAGGGCUCUGAAGAGACGCCUUUCGAUUUCCUUGGGGUUAACUGGUUCAAAUCUCCCUCAUGUAUAAACUAAGAAUGUGUUCUACAGUGUUCCUCAGCUUAUUAGUUUUCCUGGAAGAAAUGGAUGAUUCUCAUUGUCACUUGAAAACAUCCACAUUUUGGAAAUGCCUGGGCUAGCGAAGUGUAAUAAUAAAAUUCAUUUCAAUUGGUCAGUCUCGAAGGUUAAUUGAGCAGUUAUACUUUAUUCUAAUUAUUUCUGGCUAACAUUGAAGUGAUGGCAAAGUAGUAAGGAUUUUUGGGCAACUCCUUGGGUUUUUUCCUCUCUGUCAUUUUUUUUUUUAAUGACUGCCCAGUGUGGGCAAGGGCCUACUACUCAAAGCAGAUGACCUUGGCAGCAGUGUUUCUGAAAUCCUGGGUUCUGGAAUACUUUAAGGCUCUUCGUCACCUUUAAGAGCUGUC